rnacentral:rRNA from 1 species
UACAGAGGUCUCAAGCGUUGUUCGGAUUCAUUGGGCGUAAAGGGUGCGUAGGCGGCGCGGUAAGUCGGGUGUGAAAUUUCGAGGCUUAACUUCGAAACUGCAUUCGAUACUGCCGUGCUAGAGGACUGGAGAGGAGACUGGAAUUUACGGUGUAGCGGUGAAAUGCGUAGAUAUCGUAAGGAAGACCGGUGGCGAAGGCGGUUCUCUGGGCCUUACCUGACGCUGAGGAGCGAAAGCAUGGGUAGCAAACAGG